UUUUGUCUAUUUUUACUUUUAGGUGAUGUGUACUUUGAUGACAAAUCUAUUUCUCUUGAUGCCAUAGUUUGUGUCAGUCUUAUGCUUAUGGUUCCGGACUCUUUUCUUUUACAGCGGUGAACGAGUCAAACAAGCUUGAUACACGGGACACACACGAAUAUAACAAGGAACUUAAUAGAAUGUAUAGUAGUUAUUACAUGGGAAUGUGACACUAUUAGACACUUUUGGAAAAUGUUUUGAUUUUUUAGGCACUUCCAAGAGUUUAGGCACUUUACUUUAUUUUUGGUGAGAAAAUGGACAAAAUUACCCCUGCGAUAUUGACGUAAAUUAACUAACCUUCUUUUUUUAUUGUGGCUGAUUAUGUUCUUUUUAAUAUAAACCGUUAGAUUAAAAAUAUAUAUUUUCAUAUCUAUGGCUAAGAUGAAAUAAAAAGAAAUCAUUCUCUGGUUAUCUAGAUCUGAUAAGAACAUCUCUCUGUUCUUCUCUACAAAGAAUCAUGUCUUUUCUAUCAUUCUCUCUAAAAUAAAUCCAAAAUUUAAAUGGCGAGUUGAAGAUUUGUAAGUGUUGAGUGUGUGUGCUGAGAGCAACGAUGGAGUUUGUGAAGAUAGUGUACCUUAUGUAUUUACUUUACGGAGAAGGCUCUCUAGAUUUCGAUUUUGUGUAGGUUUGUUACUUUUAUUUAACAAACACAAUUUUGUUUUCUU
rnacentral:sRNA from 1 species